UGGUGCAGGACAGUGUGUCUCCUGGAC
rnacentral:piRNA from 1 species